AAUUGCAAGACUAAAGAAGGAUUUUACAUACUAACAUCAUAAUUUGUCCAAAAAAAGGUUGUGAGUUGCAUUAGAACUUGGAGUAUUUUUGUAUCUUAAAUCCUAUUCAAAUAUGUAUAUAUGUAAUUCUCUAUAAUACCUAUUUAUUUGUAAUAGAAUAGGUUUAAGUACACACCAAUGGAACUUUAUAUAUGUAUAGAUGUCUUGUCGUGUUGAUAUUA